GCCGAGAGAAUUUUUACAUCGUGCAGGACACAGGAAACGGCUUCCACUGCCAGAGGGCAGGGUUAGAAAUCAGGAUUUUUAACAGCCUGUCCCACUCCCAAACCAGAAAUUAACAACUUACUGGGAAUAGCUGGGAAGGAAGAUGGGAUGAGAUCUGUCCAGGGCUCCACGAUCCAGGGAAUGCUGAAAAGCUUCACACAACCAGGGGCAAGCCCACUUCAGCAGAAAAAGGAUCAACUUCUCUUAAGAAAUCCCUUUCCACCCAGCUUAUUCUUCUUCCCAGAUCCUAAAAUUCCAGGGCAGCUGUUUUUUUUUUUUCCCCCUUGAAAUAAAAAUUCCCACCUGGCA